rnacentral:rRNA from 1 species
UACGGUGAAUACGUUCCCGGACCUUGUACACACCGCCCGUCCAGCCAUGGAAGCUGGGUGUACCUAAAGUCGGUAACCGCAAGGAGCCGCCUAGGGUAAAACUAGUAACUGGGGCU